GAGGAACGCUGGCGGCGUGCCUAAUACAUGCAAGUCGAGCGAACAGAUGAGAAGCUUGCUUCUCUGAUGUUAGCGGCGGACGGGUGAGUAACACGUGGGUAACCUACCUAUAAGACUGGGAUAACUCCGGGAAACCGGGGCUAAUACCGGAUAAUAUUUUGAACCGCAUGGUUCAAUAGUGAAAGACGGUUUCGGCUGUCACUUAUAGAUGGACCCGUGCCGUAUUAGCUAGUUGGUAAGGUAACGGCUUACCAAGGCAACGAUACGUAGCAGACCGUAGAGGGUGCUCUGGCACAAUGGAACUGAGAAACGGUCCAGACUCCUACGGGAGGCAGCAGUAGGGAAUCUUCCUCAAUGGGCGAAAGCCUGACGGAGCAACGCCGCGUGAGUGAUGAAGGUCUUCGGAUCGUAAAACUCUGUUGUUAGGGAAGAACAAAUUUGUUAGUAACUGAACAAGUCUUGACGGUACCUAACCAGAAAGCCACGGCUAACUACGUGCCAGCCGCCGCCGUAA
rnacentral:rRNA from 1 species